GCCGAGCUCGUGGGGGAGGCAGCCGGAGAGCUGGUUGUUCAGGAGGAGCACCUCGAGGAGGGAGUCUUGCAAAUGCAAGAUUGAUGGCGGGAUUGCGCCGGUGAGCCUGUUGUUGGCGAGGGCCAGGUAGCUUAACUUGGAGAAACCGAUGUUCACCGGUAAUGGCCCGGACAGGUGAUUGUAGUUGAGGAGGAGCGCCUUAGAAUCUGUGGCACCGGGGAUGCUUCGUCCUUU
rnacentral:misc_RNA from 1 species